GUGAGUUAGGGUAGGGGGUAGAAUCUUUAUCUGGUGGAGUUGUGCUUAUAGUGGGUAUAAGGGCUUUUUUGAAAAAAGGAUUAGAGACCCUUGUAUUGAGUAGAGUUAUUUUGUGACUCUUUAGUUUAAACUAAAAAGGCUUGGCAGCUGACGAGAUUCGUCCGGGGGAACGUGUGUCAUAAGAGAUGGUCCGCUUAAUGGUUUACCAAGAUUAGGGGUUAGUGUAUAUCCGGUUCAAUAUUCGUGGUUGGUGCCGCAGAGUGAAUAUAGGGGGUUAUUAAAGCC
rnacentral:rRNA from 1 species